GUGAGUGAGUGGAUGAGUGGGUGAGGUGGUGAGGUGGUGAGUGAGGUGAUGAGGUGGUGAGUGGGUGAGGGAUUGCGAGCAGACACCACGGGCUGGCCAUGAAUGACCGAUCCGUCUUGGUGGUUGUCCGCUGCCAUUGUGAAUGGCCACGCCCGGUGGCUCCACUCAUCGUCGUCUUUGCCACGGCUCGUGUUUGUGCUACGCCGCGCUUAAACUAAAGACAAAGAUUCUCCCCG